UACUCCAAAUGAUGAGAAAAUUUUUAAAAAUUAACAGUUAUCCCUGUCUUAACAUAUUAUGUCGAGAAUUUAUACUCUGAAGAAAUA
rnacentral:snoRNA from 1 species